UACGGAGGAUGCGAGCGUUAUCCGGAUUUAUUGGGUUUAAAGGGUGCGCAGGCGGAGGUGCAAGUCAGCGGUCAAAUUGCGGGGCUCAACCCCGUACUGCCGUUGAAACUGGCUGUCUUGAGAUGUCGAGAGGUAUGCGGAAUGCGCAGUGUAGCGGUGAAAUGCUUAGAUAUCGCGCAGAACUCCGAUUGCGAAGGCAGCAUGCCGGCUCCACACUGACGCUGAGGCACGAAAGCGUGGGGAGCAAAUAGG
rnacentral:rRNA from 1 species